UCUUAUGGAUGAGCAAAGAAGGUGGUUUCUUGAGCCAGAAUCUACUUCUGUUGAAUAUGCAGUGAA
rnacentral:pre_miRNA from 1 species